UCCACGUCUUCCCAAAUUUCUCAUUUCCCCCAAAUUUCUCCGCCCCACUCCACGCCGCCGCCCAACCGCCGUCGCCCAGUUCUGAAAUGGCGCUGCUCACUACCACAAGCCAGUUACCGGCCUCGUCGCUACCCAGGUUACUAGCUAGUCCGCCGCCCCUUUAUUCCAAUUGAGGAGGAGUUGCAAGAUGAGAAUUCUGAGAGAUGAUAUUAGGAAGGAAAAGCAUAUUAUAUCUCAUUUCGUGAGUGAUUAAAUGAAGUUCUUACGAAGAUGAAGCUAAGCAAGAAAUGUAAUGUGAAGUUGUUAUAAGGAGC